GUGUUGGUAAUAAAUUUCUUGCUUUCAUCCGUAAUAAAGUUUACUAGUUUGGGGAAUGAAUGGCUCAUCAAUAAUCCAGGUGGUCAGCUGAUCUAGAAUAAAAGCUGCUAAUAGGAUGGCUACUGCUGAGAGAUUAAAAAGAAGGCAAUUAGCUUCUACUAUAAGAAGAGUUUGCUGGAUAGAGCUGGUAGCAAGCUUGGGAGAGGAUGAAGUAAAGUUCAUUGAAGAAAAAUCCCCCACAAAACACCCACUACCCUGUGAAAAAACUACUGGGAGCAUUUUAAGAUUACGUUGCUUCAGAAGCUGUUAAAGGAAUACUUGACACUUGAAAGUCGUUGCUGUAACACUGUCGUAACCUAGUUCUUCUUCUCUGGUUUGAUGUUAAGAUGUCUGGACGUGGAAAGAAAAAUGUGGUGGCUACAAAACCUACACUUCUACCAAGAAAAACAAAGUCAGCAAAGGCUGGCCUGCAAUUCCCAGUGGGUCGUGUCCACCGACUUCUCAAAAGAGGGAACUAUGCUGAGAGAAUAGGUGCUGGUGCUCCGGUCUACCUGGCGGCCGUACUGGAAUAUCUGACGGCUGAGAUAUUGGAACUGUCAGGAAAUGCUGCCCGUGAAAACAAGAAAGGCAGGAUUGGGCCACGACACAUCCAGCUGGCCGUGCGGAACGACGAAGAGCUGAACAAGCUGUUUGCCGAUGUGACCAUUGCUGAAGGAGGAGUUAUGCCCAACAUCCUUUCCCAGCUUCUUCCCAAGAAAACUCUUAAAGAGCCUUUACCAAGAGGGGAUGCUGCUGCUUCCCAAGAACAAUCCAGUAGCCACUGACUUACUCCUACCUUUCCUUGGCUGGGCUUCUGUACUUGGUGACCAUUGACUCAUGUUUAUUAAUGCUUUAGAUAUGCUAACACUGCUAAAUAUUACUCAGGGUGAUUGUUUUAAUGGUUUGUAUGUGUUUUAGAUGUUUGUAAUAAACUUUAUAGAAUUCAGCAGUUGA